UUUUCCGGUUUGGAUCCUGCCGGAGGCCAUUGCUAUCGGAGUCCGAUUUAGCCAUGCUAGUUGCACGAGUUUAGACUCCGUAGCAUAUAGCUCAGUAACACGUGGGCCAAACUACCCUACAGACCGCGAUAACCUCGGGAAACUGAGGCCAAUAGCGGAUAUAACUCUCAGGCUGGAGUGCCGAGAGUUAGAAACGUUCCGGCGCUGUAGGAUGUGGCUGCGGCCGAUUAGGUAGAUGGUGGGGUAACGGCCCACCAUGCCGAUAAUCGGUACAGGUUGUGAGAGCAAGAGCCUGGAGACGGUAUCUGAGACAAGAUACCGGGCCCUACGGGGCGCAGCAGGCGCGAAACCUUUACACUGCACGACAGUGCGAUAGGGGGACUCCGAGUGUGAGGGCAUAUAGCCCUCGCUUUUUCUGUACCGUAAGGUGGUUCAGGAACAAGGACUGGGCAAGACCAAGUGCCAGACCGCCGCGGUAAUACCGGCAGUCCAAGUGAUGGCCGAUAUUAUUGGGCCUAAAGCGUCCGUAGCCUGCUGUGUAAGUCCAUUGGGAAAUCGACCAGCUCAACUGGUCGGCGUCCGGUGGAAACUACACAGCUUGGGGCCGAGAGACUCAACGGGUACGUCCGGGGUAGGAGUGAAAUCCUGUAAUCCUGGACGGACCACCAAUGGGGAAACCACGUUGAGAGACCGGACCCGACAGUGAGGGACGAAAGCCAGGGUCUCGAACCGGAUUAGAUACCCGGGUAGUCCUGGCUGUAAACAAUGCU
rnacentral:rRNA from 1 species